rnacentral:rRNA from 1 species
GACGAACGCUGGCGGCGUGCUUAACACAUGCAAGUCGAACGGAAAGGCCCUGCUUGCAGGGUACUCGAUUGGCGAACGGGUGAGUAACACGUGGGGGAUCUGCCCUGCACUUCGGGAUAAGCCUGAGUAACUGGGUCUAAUACCGGACAGGAGCCAUUUUUAGUGUGAUUGUUGGAAAGUUUUUUCGGUGUAGGAUGAGCUCGCGGCCUAUCAGCGUGGUGGUGGGGUAAUGGCCUACCAAGGCGGCGACGGGUAGCCGGCCUGGGAGGGUGGACGGCCACAUCGGGACUGAGACACGGACCCGACCCCGACGGGAGGCAGCAGUGGGGGAUAUUGAAAAAUGGGCGCAAGCCUGAUGCAGAGACGGCGCGUGGGGGAUGACGGUCUUCGGGUUGGAAACUCCUUUCGCUAGGGACGAAGCUUUUUGUGACGGUACCUAGAUAAGAAGCACCGGCUAACUACGUG